rnacentral:rRNA from 1 species
AUUGAACGCUGGCGGCAUGCUUUACACAUGCAAGUCGAACGGCAGCGCGGGCUUCGGCCUGGCGGCGAGUGGCGAACGGGUGAGUAAUACAUCGGAACGUGCCCAGUAGUGGGGGAUAGCUCGGCGAAAGCCGGAUUAAUACCGCAUACGACCUGAGGGUGAAAGCGGGGGAUCUUCGGACCUCGCGCUAUUGGAGCGGCCGAUGGCAGAUUAGCUAGUUGGUGGGGUAAAGGCCUACCAAGGCGACGAUCUGUAGCUGGUCUGAGAGGACGACCAGCCACACUGGGACUGAGACACGGCCCAGACUCCUACGGGAGGCAGCAGUGGGGAAUUUUGGACAAUGGGCGAAAGCCUGAUCCAGCAAUGCCGCGUGUGUGAUGAAGGCCUUCGGGUUGUAAGGCACUUUUGGCGGGAACGAAAAGGACUGUGCCAAUACCACGGUUCGAUGACGGUACCCGCAGAAUAAGCACCGGCUAACUACGUG